rnacentral:rRNA from 1 species
UACGGGGGGGGCAAGCGUUGUUCGGAAUUACUGGGCGUAAAGGGCUCGUAGGCGGCCCUCUCAGUCGGAUGUGAAAUCCCCAGGCUUAACCUGGGAACGGCAUCCGAUACUGGAGGGCUUGAAUUCGGGAGAGGGAUGCAGAAUUCCAGGUGUAGCGGUGAAAUGCGUAGAUAUCCGGAGGAACACCGGUGGCGAAGGCGGCUUCCUGGACCGACACUGACGCUGAGGCGCGAAAGCUAGGGGAGCAAACGGG